rnacentral:sRNA from 1 species
AAUUCUAUUUAUGUUAUACCUUAAUUUAGAAAACUUAAAUCUAUUCCAUUUCUAUAAAAAGAAUUUAACUUGUAUUUUUAUUAUUACGAGAGUCUAAUAUACUUUUUCCUAAAUAACUUUGUGUUCUUACUCUCAUCGAUUUAUCAAAAAUCUUGUGAAUUAAUGCUCAAACAGUCACUCCCAUGGCACAAGCCGUUUCACUCAUAUCGAACUCGAACCACUCUUAUCCGAUCUAGCUUUCAACAACAUACAAAUGUAAUAUCAGAGUGGUUUGUGAUUUAAAAAUAUAUUCAUAAACAUGUUUUCUUCAGUAAAAAACAAUAGUGUGGCUUUCACUUGUGAGAAAUGGUUGUGGGAUGUUUUCAUCUGUGGUUCUUUGGAAAUUUCUUCUCUUUAAUGGUCCCAUGAUGUGUGUCCGUCGAUUAUUGAUCGUUUCUAUAUCUAGUAAUUACCAUUUCAAAAGUUUUUAUAUUGUCAAAGAUUCUUCCAAGGUCCCUUUUUAUGGUAAGUUCAUGUUCAUCAUCUGGUUUUGUUCAUCAUGAUCAAUUGUUUUUUAGUACCAACUACCAACAUCCAUAUUUUGUUAGCAUUUUGUACUUCUUCUCCAAUAAAUAACGAGAAAUAGAACAUGAAAAAUCCUCGAAAAUCAUAUUUCAGUUUUUGUACAGAAUAGUUACAUGGAAGAGAUAUUCAUGUGAUGAUGUUAACAACAAGGAAGAAUCAGAACUGUUCAAGAAGCUUGUGUAUGACAUCGUUGGAAAACAAAUCAAUGCUCACAUUGAAAAAUUAGAAA